rnacentral:rRNA from 1 species
GAUGAACGCUGACAGAAUGCUUAACACAUGCAAGUCAACUUGAACUUCGGUUUGGGUGGCGGACGGGUGAGUAACGCGUAAAGAACUUGCCUCACAGAUAGGGACAACAUUUGGAAACGAAUGCUAAUACCUGAUAUUAUGAUUUUAGGGCAUCCUAGGAUUAUGAAAGCUAUAUGCACUGUGAGAGAGCUUUGCGUCCCAUUAGCUAGUUGGAGAGGUAACGGCUCACCAAGGCGAUGAUGGGUAGCCGGCCUGAGAGGGUGAUCGGCCACAAGGGGACUGAGACACGGCCCUUACUCCUACGGGAGGCAGCAGUGGGGAAUAUUGGACAAUGGACCAAGAGUCUGAUCCAGCAAUUCUGUGUGCACGAUGAAGUUUUUCGGAAUGUAAAGUGCUUUCAGUUGGGAAGAAAAAAAUGACGGUACCAACAGAAGAAGUGACGGCUAAAUACGUGCCAGCAGCCGCGGUAAUACGUAUGUCACAAGCGUUAUCCGGAUUUAUUGGGCGUAAAGCGCGUCUAGGUGGUUAUGUAAGUCUGAUGUGAAAAUGCAGGGCUCAACUCUGUAUUGCGUUGGAAACUGUGUAACUAGAGUACUGGAGAGGUAAGCGGAACUACAAGUGUAGAGGUGAAAUUCGUAGAUAUUUGUAGGAAUGCCGAUGGGGAAGCCAGCUUAUUGGACAGAUACUGACGCUGAAGCGCGAAAGCGUGGGUAGCAAACAGG